AACGACUGACGCGCUGUUGUUAACUCGGCUAUAAUCGCGUAAGCGGUGCAUACGCCAGUAAAGAAGAAGAAUUAGUUAAGAGCUGGAAACCGAUCUUUACCUAUAAAAGAAAGACUAGGAUUUAGAGUAGCAUCCCUCGAUCUCGAGCUUAAAAUGGAGAAAAACUAUCGACUUCAAGCUUAUCGAAAUAUUAUUACAAUAUGUUGUGUGAAUAAGGAUCUAUACAGAAUUUAGUCCACACAACGCAUAUUAUUCAUAAUACAACGGGAAAAUCACUUCUACAGACACAAGAAGAAGUAACCAGACAAGCAGACUAUAUAACAACAAAAAUUGAACGCAGCGGUAAAACCACGCCACUACUAGCAUACAGCACAGGCUUGGCAGAGAGUUAGAUGCCCGAUGAUCUGUCAGUCAGCUCGAAACUGUGACAGCGUACAUACGGUGGACAUAUACCAGACUACACAGUGAGAUGAUCUUCUAGCUAGUCUUGGUCUCGUUCGUUAAGGGUGAGCUUGAUAGUGAGUCGAUCCCCUGACCAACUCAACCCUUAACAAUGGGGUCGCCAACGCGGUUUUCCAUAGUCCGAGUUUUUGCGCAGCUAUAGUAAGUGAUUCAACAGAACAACGUCUUCGAAGCCUACCAGAGCGCCAGCAGAUACAGUCGUGCGGAGUCGUCGUAGCAAACGAGCAUCCGCGAACGCCGCAGGACAUUGUCACUGAACCGYUACCCUCGGCGCGUAUACCUCGCUUCGUUACAAUUUUCAAAGAGAAAAGAUAAUAAAAUGCGCAAUAGUUUGACUAAUUACAUCUACCUAUACAUAGAAAUAAAGGCGAUUUUUUAUCUAAAACUUUUUUUUUUUGCAAAUUAACUAGCCAAGAAAAAAUUAUUGGAGUAAGUUUACAAAAACGACUUGACAUUGCUAGCCGUGAUAUUACACUAUAUCUGUUUAAGAUUAGUGGCACUUAGUACAUACAUACAUUAGAAUAAAGUUAGACAAAAGAAGCUUAAUAAAAUAAUGAAAUGACUUUUUUAUAGUUGCAGCUGCUUGUUGGUUUUCCAAAUACAUUUAAUCAAACCGGUGUCUUCGAAGCUGCAUGAUGAAAGAGAAGUUUUGCUAAUCUAUGACAUCGAGAUGAAACAUUACGCAAAGGUUGUGUGAUAAAUUUAGGCGCUAUUCUAACAGCAUUUAAUAAACAUUGGAGCACAACACAAACGGCCUAUAUCUAUAUAUGACUACAAGCAUAUCGUGCGAUUUAAUACAUGAAAUGAUAAGCCUACACCGCCAAGUAACAAUACCAGGGAUAAUGGGAUGCCCAACUUAUUCCAGUGUGAGAGCGMAUCAAAAUAAGCGUUUUUUAUAACAUUUUCCA